rnacentral:lncRNA from 1 species
UUGAAGAAAUUGCUUGAUUCUGGGCCUUGCUUGCGGAAUCUUCAGUAAUGGUUGAUGCAAAAUGACCAAGUUUAUUUGUUUCAUAAAAAUGGCCUAGGUUCUCCAGAAGGUGUAGGGAAAUCCCUGUGGUGAGAUGUGUCUGCAUUGAUGAUGAAUUGAUAAAACAAUAUUCCAGUUGAAUAUUGUUUUAGUCUUUCUAAAGUAGCCCAAAUAAAAUAAUGUUUCUAAGACUACUAUUAUCUCCAACUUUACAUAAAUACUUAUGUGAACUGGUUAUCACCAGUAGUUAUUAACUUCUGAUUUUUUGGGCAUUUAUAUAUAUAUAUAAACAAACCACAUUUGUUUACAUUUGGAUGAUCUAGUGCAUUCAUUAAUGGUUUGAACUGGUAACAAUGCCAUGUGGACAUUUUUUGUUGUAUUAUUAUAUGUAUGGAGGAGAGAAAAAUUAUUUUUAUGGUGUCAAAUACUGGGAUUAUUUUGAGCAUUGUAAAGAGGAAAAAAAGUUCCUCUGUGUUAUAAGAAUGAAUAUUUUCUAGAACUGUAUUGAAAAUAGAUGUGGAUUAGAUUAUUUUAUUUUUCUCUUAGUUACCUAAUUUCCUUCUGUUACCUUUCAACUUUGUCCUAAUGCAAGGUAUACCAAUUGUGGUCUGCUCAAAACUUAAUCAUGUAGGAGUUUCACAGUACACUUCUAAUGUAAUCUGAUUCAAACUAAGACUUCAGAAUUUAAAUUUCCAGGCUUUUGUGAGGGGUCUGGAAGAGAGAGGAAGGUUAGGGAGAAGGGUGGGCAUAAGUUGAAGAAACAUUCUGAAGAUGCUGCUGUCUUCCUCUUCUGCUGCUGUGACACUGGCCAUGACUGAGAGGUUGCCCUCACACAGUCAGACAUUAAGUGAAGCAAUUAAUUUAGAAUGCGUGCAGAAAAUGAAUUCUGGUUGGCUCAUGAUACCAUUUAAUUCUGGUGAGCAUGUUCAUAAUGUUUUCCAAGUCUGGUAAAUACUGAAAAUAUCUUUCUAUAGCACAGGAUCUAAAAGGUCUUUUGUAAUGUUGCAUUAUUUCUCAAAAUGAUGGACAGAAGAGUAUAAAUCCCAUCUAUCUGCCUGGUGCGUGACACAAACUCAGAACAUUUUGGGCUGGAAGGAAUGUUCAGAGAUCACUGAUUUCAGCCCCCAGUGCUCUUGAUUAGGCAACUGCAUAAACUUUGUGCAUCUGGUAAGUCUGUUGCAUAAAAUUUCCAGUGUAUCUGAUAAUUUACUGCUAAACUUGUCCUGAUUUUUUUUUUUGAGGA